CAGUCGCCGCGGUAAUACAGAGGGUGCGAGCGUUAAUCGGAUUUACUGGGCGUAAAGCGUGCGUAGGCGGCUUCUUAAGUCGGAUGUUAAAUCCCUGAGCUUAACUUAGGAAUUGCAUUCGAUACUGGGAAGCUAGAGUAUGGGAGAGGAUGGUAGAAUUCCAGGUGUAGCGGUGAAAUGCGUAGAGAUCUGGAGGAAUACCGAUGGCGAAGGCAGCCAUCUGGCCUAAUACUGACGCUGAGGUACGAAAGCAUGGGGAGCAAACAGGAUUAGAUACCCCCGUAGUCCCUGUCUCUUAUAC
rnacentral:rRNA from 1 species